rnacentral:sRNA from 1 species
UUGCAGCUCUGGAGACUGAAGUCUUCUGUUUAUCCACAAAAUAUAUAGGGUUCAGAUGGUGGCAGUAAAACUUCUAUGCUGCUUUGCCAAUACGCUGUACGCCCUCCCUGCAAGGAUCACUUCUAGUGUUGAAAUGGUAACAGGCUACAUGAUCACUCAUUCUUCAGACUUU